rnacentral:sRNA from 1 species
GCCACAAUAGAAUUCUUAUCAACAAUUUCUUUUUCUUUUCCAUGCUUAACCAUCAUCAAUUUCUUACAGUUUCUCCUUGCAAUUGACCAUGACAAUAGUGACAAAUAUCUUGACUUGAGUUAAACUUUCUCUCCAUACCAACUCCUGCCAAUGGAAUUGCCAGAAUAUCGCAUGCCAUCAUUGCCACUGUUGGGUACUGACUGCUGAUCAUCCUCCACAGAUCUAAAAUAGAUUUUCCUUUGAUAUUAACAGAAUCAUCAUAUAGAUAGCAGUCAAAUUCAGUGUUGCAAGAAUUUUGUUUGCUCAGAUUUUCAGCAGCAAUCAACAAGUGCAAAUCCUUAAUCAAUAAAUAUUAGU